AUGAGUGUGAAUCAGCAAGGUGUCUGUGUUGAGAAGUUCAGAGCUCCUUGUUCCCACACCAAUCUCGAGAAACAGGCCCUCUCAGAUUGUCUUGAGUUGUGCACCUGGAAGCAAAGUCAAGAUAGGCCAGGACUUUGCUUCCGCGCGGGACGAGAGGCGCGGGUGAUGGACGGAGCCGAUGAUGUGCCUGGAAGUUUUGGGCCGAGCCAAAAGCAGAAGGCAGCUGUUGACAGCUCAGUGAGGAGCUGCUGGUUUAUGAGUCUGGGGAUUUGAA
rnacentral:lncRNA from 1 species